UACGUAGGGUGCAAGCGUUAAUCGGAAUUACUGGGCGUAAAGCGUGCGCAGGCGGUUGUGCAAGACAGAUGUGAAAUCCCCGGGCUCAACCUGGGAACUGCAUUUGUGACUGCACGGCUGGAGUGCGGCAGAGGGGGAUGGAAUUCCGCGUGUAGCAGUGAAAUGCGUAGAUAUGCGGAGGAACACCGAUGGCGAAGGCAAUCCCCUGGGCCUGCACUGACGCUCAUGCACGAAAGCGUGGGGGAGCAAACAGG
rnacentral:rRNA from 1 species